rnacentral:lncRNA from 1 species
ACGUAAAAAUCUCACAUCUUGUAGCAAGUCUGCCAACAAGCCGUCAACAAGUUGUGCUCGCACUGCUUGUCCCAAGUUAUCGACAAGUUUGGAACAAGCUGGCAACAACUUGUAACAACCCUGUUGAUAUUAUCAGACUUGUUACAAGGUUGUUCCAACAAGUCCGAUACAGUCAUGAUAUAACAAUAUUGUUACAACCUUG